UACAGAGGUCUCAAGCGUUGUUCGGAUUCAUUGGGCGUAAAGGGUGCGUAGGCGGCGCGGUAAGUCGGGUGUGAAAUCUCGGAGCUUAACUCCGAAACUGCAUUCGAUACUGCCGUGCUUGAGGACUGGAAGGAGACUGAGUUACUGUGGUAGCGGUGAAAUGCGUAGAUAUCGUAAGGAAGACCAGUGGCGAAGGCGGGCUC
rnacentral:rRNA from 1 species